AUUGAACGCUGGCGGCAGGCCUAACACAUGCAAGUCGGACGGUAGCACAGAGGAGCUUGCUCCUUGGGUGACGAGUGGCGGACGGGUGAGUAAUGUCUGGGGAUCUGCCCGAUAGAGGGGGAUAACCACUGGAAACGGUGGCUAAUACCGCAUAACGUCGCAAGACCAAAGAGGGGGACCUUCGGGCCUCUCACUAUCGGAUGAACCCAGAUGGGAUUAGCUAGUAGGCGGGGUAAUGGCCCACCUAGGCGACGAUCCCUAGCUGGUCUGAGGGGAGGACCAGCGACACUGGAACUGAGACACGGUCCAGACUCCUACGGGAGGCAGCAGUGGGGAAUAUUGCACAAUGGGCGCAAGCCUGAUGCAGCCAUGCCGCGUGUAUGAAGAAGGCCUUCGGGUUGUAAAGUACUUUCAGCGGGGAGGAAGGCGGUGAGGUUAAUAACCUCGCCGAUUGACGUUACCCGCAGAAGAAGCACCGGCUAACUCCGUGCCAGCCGCCGCCGUAA
rnacentral:rRNA from 1 species